CUAACCCAUUUGUAUAGCCACCUUUUUUAUUCUUCCUAUACUAUCUCUUGCCUUCAAGCCGUUGCCGCUCAUGCAGAAGAAGGAUCGUUGCCGUCGCCGUUCAUGAAGAAGCAUCCUCCUCGUCGUUGCUUGCUGUCCUCUCUCUCACUUAGUCCCUAUCUCCUUUGGUCCUCUCUCAAUCACGGUGAGGAUCGCGAGUCCCAACUAGGGAGGACAUUGUUCAUGAUUUAUCGCGGCUCUCCACCCCUCUAGCCCUCUCUCACUCGCGACAAGGAAGGCGACUUCUCUGUCUCACUCACGGCAAGGAAGCAACCUCUCUGCCUCGAUCUCACACACAGCAAAUUAGGCGACAGUCGACCGCCUCACAAAUGAUCUAUCGUCGACUGGAGAGGAACGUCUUGGAUCACCCAGUCUCUCCAAGGAUUUCGUAUAUUUGGAUUAUCCGAUUUCACAAUUACAUAAUCAGAUUUAGGAGCUUAGAUGCUUGUUUAUGAUUGUCUAGUUUUUUUAUUUCUGAAUUUAUAUUAUUUUAUGGGUUUGUGUUAUUUCUUGAUUUGUUCUUUGUUAUUUCUUCUUCUUGUUCUUAGUAAUUCUGCUUGAAAUUUAUUGUUUAGUUGAGGAUUGAAUUAUGCAUUUUAAGUUUUUGCUUGAAGGUUUG
rnacentral:lncRNA from 1 species